CACACCACGCCGUCCGAUAAACCAUAUAUAAAGGAAAGUAGAUCCAGUAUUGGCAACAUUAUCGUUUAUUUGUUCUUAUCAAUAGCUUGACGUGUCGUUAAUUAAUAAUUAUGCAUAUGUUUAUAAUUAGCGUUGCCGUGGCUGCCGUUUUCUUAUCGGUUUCCUCUGGACACCUACAGAAAAGAAGUCAUCGGAGAAGACGACCCUUUUGCAACCUUGCAACUAUAAGCUGUUCGAAAAUGCAAAGAGACGACUUAUGUAAAUGUUGUGAAGUUGAUCUGUGUGCUGCUGAACCUUGCCAAAAUGGUGGAACUUGUGUACCUGAGGCAGGUAAAGUGUCCUGUAAAUGUGCGGAUGGUUAUACCGGUGACAAAUGCGAGGUUGAUCUGUGUGCUGCUGAACCUUGCCAAAAUAGUGGAACUUGUGUACCAGAAGCUGGUGGAGUGUCCUGUUCAUGUGCAAAUGGAUUUACCGGUGAUAAUUGCGAGGUUGAUCUGUGUGCUGCUGAACCUUGCCAAAAUGGUGGAACUUGUGUACCAGAGGCAGGUAAAGUGUCCUGUAAAUGUGCGGAUGGAUAUACCGGUGAUAAUUGCGAGAAUGAUGAAUGUGAGCCGAACCCCUGUCAGAAUUGUGGAACUUGUUCUCGUAUCGAAGGGGGAUUCAAAUGUUCCUGCUUGAAUAGAAGGU